GAUGAACGCUAGCUACAGGCUUAACACAUGCAAGUCGAGGGGAAACGAUAUUGGAAGCUUGCUUCCGAUAGGCGUCGACCGGCGCACGGGUGAGUAACGCGUAUCCAACCUGCCCAUCACUUGGGGAUAACCUUGCGAAAGUAAGACUAAUACCCAAUGACGUCUCUAGAAGACAUCUGAAGGAGAUUUAAAAGAUUUAUCGGUGAUGGAUGGGGAUGCGUCUGAUUAGCUUGUUGGCGGGGUAACGGCCCACCAAGGCGACGAUCAGUAGGGGUUCUGAGAGGAAGGUCCCCCANAUUGGAACUGAGACACGGUCCAAAACUCCUACGGGAGCAGCAGUGAGGAAUAUUGGUCAAAUGGACGAGAGUCUGAACCAGCCAAGUAGCGUGCAGGAUGACGGCCCUAUGGGUUGUAAACU
rnacentral:rRNA from 1 species